rnacentral:rRNA from 1 species
UCGUCAGCUCGUGUCGUGAGAUGUUGGGUUAAGUCCCGCAACGAGCGCAACCCUUGCCUUUAGUUGCCAGCAUUAAGUUGGGCACUCUAGAGGGACUGCCGAGGAUAACUCGGAGGAAGGUGGGGAUGACGUCAAAUCAUCAUGCCCCUUAUGCUUAGGGCUACACACGUGCUACAAUGGGUGGUACAGAGGGUUGCCAAACCGUGAGGUGGAGCUAAUCCCUUAAAGCCAUUCUCAGUUCGGAUUGUAGGCUGAAACUCGCCUGCAUGAAGCUGGAGUUACUAGUAAUCGCAGAUCAGAAUGCUGCGGUGAAUGCGUUCCCGGGUCUUGUACACACCGCCCGUCACACCAUGGGAGUUGGGGGCGCCCGAAGCCGGUUAGCUAACCUUUUAGGAGGCAACCGUCGAAGGUGAAACCAAUGACUGGGGUGAAGUCGUAACAAGGUAACCGUA